CGUUUCUGGAUCUGUUAAAUCAGCUUCCUCCUUCGUCAACGACGACGAUGAUGAUGACGGUGAAGCUGCUUCUUGGCUUUUACCUAAAGAAGGAGGAGAAACUGAGAUCUCUAAUUUUUUUACCGAUCUUGAGUAUCCGAAGAUUGAGGUUACUUCGGAGGAGAAUAGCUCCGGUAACGAUGGAGUCGUUCCUAUUAACAACAAAUUAGUGUUUCUCAAUAACGAUUACUUCAAUAUCGACAUCUCUGCUUCUAAAGGAUUCAGUUUCAUCAAUCAAUCUGUACGAAUCAUCUCUGUAUCUCUUGAAAUUUUUCAGAUCUGGAAAAAUGAAUUUUAGAUCUGAGUUGAGUUUUUUUUUUUUUUUUAGGAUUUGUCGAGAUCUUUAGAUGUAGCGUUGGUUCCUGAAAGUGGAGGAGGAGCUACGACGGCGACGGCUACGGCGACGGUGACGAUGCCAGUAGUGCAGUUAUCACCGGCGGAGAGGGAAGCGAGGGUUUUGAGGUAUAGAGAGAAGAGGAAGAAUAGGAAGUUUGAGAAGACGAUUAGGUAUGCGUCGCGUAAAGCUUACGCUGAGAUGAGGCCGAGGAUUAAAGGACGUUUUGCUAAGCGUACUGAGUCGAGAGGUGACGAUGGUGGUGGAGACGGCGGAGUUUAUGGCGGUUUCGGCGUUGUUCCGAGUUUCUGAAGUUUCCGGUUAAGGAAACGUGGUAGUAACGUAACGGUUAAUAGAAAGAUUAUAAAGUUAUAAUGUUACCCUUAUUUAAUCAGGGGGCUAAGUUAAUUACAAUAUUGUUGUUGUUAAAAACAAUUAAUUUUCAUAAUAUUACAGUAGUUUAUUUCAAGUUGAACUAAUAAAUUUUGAUUUACCA
rnacentral:lncRNA from 1 species